AUGGGCAACUGCCAGGCGGCGGAGGAGGCGACGGUGGUGGUGCAGCACCCGGGCGGCGGGCGGGUGGAGCGGCUCUACUGGGCCACCAGCGCCGCCGAGGUCAUGCGCGCCAACCCGGGCCACUACGUCGCGCUCGUCACCCUCCGCGUCACCGAGGAAGAGGGCCAGCGGCAAAGGCGCGGCGCUGUGCGGCUGACGCGGGUGAAGCUGCUCAAGCCCCGGGACACGCUGCAGCUCGGCCACGCCUACCGCCUCAUCGCCGUCGACGAGGUCACCAGGGCCGUGCAGGCCAGGAAGGAGGAGAAGACCAGGAGGGCGCAGCGGCAGCGCCAGCAGGCCUCCGCCGGCAACGACCAGUCACUCAUGGACGAGGGUCUCGAUCAGUUGGAGCAGCAGGACAGGGACGGCCACCCGAGCAGCUCGACGAAAGGCUCGAGGCAUCGCCAGUGGCGCCCGUCUCUGCACAGCAUCGCCGAAGUCAGCAGCUGA
rnacentral:rRNA from 1 species